GGCAGUGAUAGCUCAGUGGUUAAGGCAUUGGAGUUCUGCUUGAAAGAUCAUGAGUUCAAAUCCCAGCACCACCA